GCUCAACCGGGGAGGGUCAUUGGAAACUGGGGAACUUGAGUGCAGAAGAGGAGAGUGGAAUUCCACGUGUAGCGGUGAAAUGCGUAGAGAUGUGGAGGAACACCAGUGGCGAAGGCGACUCUCUGGUCUGUAACUGACGCUGAGGCGCGAAAGCGUGGGGAGCGAACAGGAUUAGAUACCCUGGUAGUCCACGCCAUAAACGGUGAGUGCUAAGUGUUAGAGGGUUUCCGCCCUUUAGUGCUGCAGCAAACGCAUUAAGCACUCCGCCUGGGGAGUACGGUCGCAAGACUGAAACUCAAAGGAAUUGACGGGGGCCCGCACGAGCGGUGGAGCAUGUGGUUUAAUUCGAAGCAACGCGAAGAACCUUACCAGGUCUUGACAUCCUCUGACAACCCUAGAGAUAGGGCUUCCCCUUCGGGGGCAGAGUGACAGGUGGUGCAUGGUUGUCGUCAGCUCGUGUCGUGAGAUGUUGGGUUAAGUCCCGCAACGAGCGCAACCCUUGAUCUUAGUUGCCAGCAUUCAGUUGGGCACUCUAAGGUGACUGCCGGUGACAAACCGGAGGAAGGUGGGGAUGACGUCAAAUCAUCAUGCCCCUUAUGACCUGGGCUACACACGUGCUACAAUGGGCAGAACAAAG
rnacentral:rRNA from 1 species